AUUGAACGCUGGCGGCAUGCUUUACACAUGCAAGUCGAACGGUAACAGGGAGCUUGCUCCGCUGACGAGUGGCGAACGGGUGAGUAAUGCGUCGGAACGUGCCGAGUAGUGGGGGAUAACGCAGCGAAAGUUGUGCUAAUACCGCAUACGUACUGAGGUAGAAAGUGGGGGACCUUCGGGCCUCACGCUAUUCGAGCGGCCGACGUCUGAUUAGCUAGUAGGUGAGGUAAAGGCUCACCUAGGCGACGAUCAGUAGCGGGUCUGAGAGGAUGAUCCGCCACACUGGGACUGAGACACGGCCCAGACUCCUACGGGAGGCAGCAGUGGGGAAUUUUGGACAAUGGGCGAAAGCCUGAUCCAGCCAUGCCGCGUGUCUGAAGAGGGCCUUCGGGUUGUAAAGGACUUUUGUCGGGGAGGAAAUCCCCAGCGCUAAUACCGCUGGGGGAUGACAGUACCUGAAGAAUAAGCACCGGCUAACUACGUGCCAGCAGCCGCGGUAA
rnacentral:rRNA from 1 species